rnacentral:tRNA from 1 species
CAGAGAAUAGUUUAUUUAAAAUAUUAAUUUUGGAGAUUAAUGAUAAGUUUAAUCUUUUCUCUGA